rnacentral:rRNA from 1 species
CACGUAGGGCGCAAGCGUUGUCCGGAAUUAUUGGGCGUAAAGAGCUCGUAGGCGGUCUGUUGCGUCCGCUGUGAAAUCUCGGAGCUUAACUCCGAAACUGCAUUCGAUACUGCCGUGCUUGAGGACUGGAGAGGAGACUGGAAUUUACGGUGUAGCGGUGAAAUGCGUAGAUAUCGUAAGGAAGACCAGUGGCGAAGGCGGGUCUCUGGACAGUUCCUGACGCUGAGGCACGAAGGUCAGGGGAGCAAACGGG